GACGUAGGGCGCGAGCGUUGUCCGGAAUCAUUGGGCGUAAAGCGCGUGUAGGCGGCCCGGUAAGUCCGCUGUGAAAGUCGGGGGCUCAACCCUCGGAUGCCGGUGGAUACUGUCGGGCUCGAGUACGGAAGAGGCGAGUGGAAUUCCUGGUGUAGCGGUGAAAUGCGCAGAUAUCAGGAGGAACACCGAUGGCGAAGGCGGCAUCCUGGACCGACACUGACGCUGAGGAGCGAAAGCCAGGGGAGCAAACGGG
rnacentral:rRNA from 1 species